rnacentral:rRNA from 1 species
CGGGGUGCAGCAGGCGCGAAAACUUUACAAUGCCGGCAACGGCGAUAAGGGAACCUCGAGUGCCAGGUUACAAAUCUGGCUGUCGUGAUGCCUAAAAAGCAUUGCAUAGCAAGGGCCGGGCAAGACCGGUGCCAGCCGCCGCGGUAACACCGGCGGCUCGAGUGGUAACCGUUAUUAUUGGGUCUAAAGGGUCUGUAGCCGGCCGGAUAAGUCUCUUGGGAAAUCUGGCAGCUUAACUGUCAGGCUUUCAGGAGAUACUGUCUGGCUCGAGGCCGGGAGAGGUGAGAGGUACUUCAGGGGUAGGGGUGAAAUCUUGUAAUCCUUGAAGGACCACCAGUGGCGAAGGCGUCUCACCAGAACGGACCUGACGGCAAGGGACGAAAGCUAGGGGCACGAACCGGAUUAGAUACCCGGGUAGUCCUAGCCGUAAACGAUACUCGCUAGGUGUCGGCCACGGUGCGACCGUGGUCGGUGCCGUAGGGAAGCCGUGAAGCGAGCCACCUGGGAAGUACGGCCGCAAGGCUGAAACUUAAAGGAAUUGGCGGGGGAGCACAAGGGCGAUUCGCG